rnacentral:rRNA from 1 species
UGGCGGACGGGUGAGUAACGCGUGGAAAACCUGCCGUAUACUGGGGGAUAACACUUAGAAAUAGGUGCUAAUACCGCAUAAGCGCACAGCUUCGCAUGAAGCGGUGUGGAAAACUCUGGUGGUAUACGAUGGUUCCGCGUCUGAUUAGCUAGUUGGUGGGGUAAUGGCCUACCAAGGCAACGAUCAGUAGCCGGCCUGAGAGGGUGAACGGCCACAUUGGGACUGAGACACGGCCCAAACUCCUACGGGAGGCAGCAG